UCUAAUACCUUAUAGUAUCCAUCUCGUAUGGAUUAAAGCUUUAUGCGCUUUGGGAGGGGCCUGCGUUUGAUUAGCUAGUUGGUGAGGUAAAAGCUCACCAAGGCGACGAUCAAUAGCUGGUUUGAGAGGAUGACCAGCCACACUGGGACUGAGAUACGGCCCAGACUCCUACGGGAGGCAGCAGUAAGGAAUCUUCCACAAUGGGGCAACCCUGAUGGAGCAAUACCGCGUGCAGGAUGAAGCGUUUCGGCGUGUAAACUGCUUUUAUCACCGAAGAUUAUGACUGUAGGUGAAGAAUAAGGACCGGCUAACUACGUG
rnacentral:rRNA from 1 species